GGGGACGGGGGGGACACGUCCCCCGCACUUUUAGAAACUGGUGAUUCUGACCCCUGCUAUUUUUUUGGAUCCAGCGUGAAUAUUUCCGGCACCGGCAGUGUUCUCUGAUUUGUUACUUAGAUUUGAGUGAACUAACAUUCAGCCAAUCACAGAGCGAAUCAUCUCUUGGGCGCGUCUGCUAUGAGCUUCAAAUCUCUUGUUGGUGUUGUGAGUUUUCGUUCGUUCAUUCGCCGUCUGGGAUAAAAUGCACCCCAGAAAAAAAGCAAAGGACGAUUACAUCCUUUUUUCAAACACACACUGAAAGGCAGGCUGUGACGUCACUGACAGAGAGAGGGGACAGUUGCUCAACCUCUCCAGAAUGUGUACAGAGGUCUUGGCAUUGAUUUCUCAGUUCCUGCUUGGAUGAAACAGACACAGCUUUCCAUGAGACCAUGAACCGGAGGUCAGGUGUUGUGCCGUGGUAGCUUACCUCUCCACACAAUCUGACAGACGCGAACAAUGGCUUGAAGCUGGUGCGUCAUGUCCUCCCACUGCAUACAAGAAACUGUUAUACGUGGCCACACCCAC